GUCCUUUUUCUCCCCCCGCUGAACUUUCCGCAUAAUUGCUGAGGGAAGCAAAACACAGAGGGGUACCUGUGAAGUGCAAAACCAUGCAAAUGAACAUAUUCCAAAAUCCAUUAACAGUCACAAGUAACAAUGCAGUCUUCACUAUUUCUCAAAGUAACUGGCGAAGCUCCUGGUUUUCUUUCAGAAGACGCUUAAUUUCUUUCAUCAGCUCUGCCUGAUUUUCCAGAAUUGAGCGCAUCACAGUAGAAAAUUCCAUCUCCUGCAUAUGGAAUUGUCUUAGAAUUUCGAUGUGAAGGUUCCUCAUGUCUUCAUGGAU
rnacentral:misc_RNA from 1 species